GAGACACCCCUGUGGAGCAGGACUUUCUUCAGUGGAACUUUGGUGCUCACUGAGUCUCCCCUUGAGUGUGUCACU
rnacentral:pre_miRNA from 1 species